GGGCUCCAUAUCUGAGUAACAUCAAUCAAGUUAGCUUAUAUGUUCAGUCAAGUCAAGUACUUUCAAAUUGGACACAUAAACAUAAGCUAAUACUUUUCUAUGGUGUCUGACUUGUGUAUGUGACUCCAUAGAUUCAAACACUAAGCCAGUAGCACAGGAACCAAUUCCUACACUAAUUGAGAUACCAUCUAGCAAUUAUUUUCGAUAUCCUGAUAG
rnacentral:lncRNA from 1 species